GAAGCGCGGCUUUACCUGAGGCGGCGCGAGGAGCUGAGCUCGGUGACGGGAGAAGGAGGCGUGGCUUCAGCGCCAUGGGCGCGAGAGCGGGCGGUUAGGAGAAGGAACUGCCAAAGGCGUGGCCUCGCCUCUUCGCGUGCCUGUUGUUACUGCUAUUUAUUCGCUUCCCCGUGGCCCCUGACGCCUUGCAGUUUUAGCUGCCUUAGUACAUAGGUCCCUAACGUGUGCUUGUUCCGUUGAGGUUGCUUUUGGGCGCGUUUAUGAAUUUAAACAGGUUAGCUGCCGACGUCCUCAGAGAAUCUCUUCUCACAGACCUGCGGCGCGUUCCUAUACAUUGCCUACUCAGAAGUAAGCCCCCCAGCGAGGCCUGGGCCUCUUCCAGACUUUGAGGCCCUUCGCCUCUGCUCCCCCCAGACGAAAAGGAGCCCGUACUCACCAUGAAGUGUGAAUAGACAAUGAGAGGGAAAGCAAGAGAGGUACAGGGACAAUAAACUCAGCCAACUCAUAACAACAUGAUGGAAUUUUGAUGGCCUGGCAAAUGUUACUGUUUUGAUCUUUUAUCAGGGUUGGAAGUACAAUCUUAUCCUUCAGACAUCGAGAUAAAAUAAGUUAAGUAAUUUUUGAUAUCCACCCUUGUUUUCAUAGGCCUUGUUUUCAUGUCAGGUGCAAACCUGUGCCUGGACUAUACCACUUCAGACUGUGGAUGGGAGCUCCUGUGUAUUUUCAGGACCCACACUAUUCCUGUGACUGCUAAUUGCUUAAACUGUUUUUAAUACUGAAUUUUAAAUUGUUACAACCAGCCCUGAGAUUUGCUGAAGGGCAGGUAACAACAACAACAAACAACAACAACAACAAUAAAUGCUUUUCCAUGCAAAAUAUUCCCACCAUGUAGAAAACUAGCAUGCCCAGUUCCUAUUAACUAGUAAGUUUGUUUUUUCCUUUACAUAUUUCCAAAUGCUUCCUCAUGAUUUGCUUCUUAUAAAAAGUCUUCCAGGCUCAUGCAAGUGAAAGACAUUUCUCUACAGCAUGAAGAUUUCCAGUGGGUUUGCAUAGGAAAGAUUUAUCCUAAAGAAUAAGGACACCACAAAACACAUGCUUUCCAGACUACUAUGGAAGUAUGACUUUGGAUCUGCUAUUCAUGGUUAGCAAAUGUAACAACAAAACAGCCACCUCAAAAUACCUGUUGCUGGGGCUGAAGAUGAAAAAAGCACUGGCUUCUGGCAUUGGCACAGCUUUCUCCUUGAGGUGCAAUUCGGACAUUGGGCGUGGACGAGGCCCAACAGGCAUCUCAGGCUCUUCCUCCUCCUCUUCUCCUGAAAGGCAAAGUUUAUACUUUUUAAAUACUAUUAAUCAGAAAAAGGUUUCUGGUUUCCCUCAUAAAAUCCAGGCUAAGGCUGUUGUUAAUUAUGCUGUAGACUCUAUAGAAGAGAAUAAAUAAUCAGGGAACAGGAAUUUUCUUCUGCAUUUAUCAGGAUGCUAUUAAAUCCUUCCGUCAUCAUGACAUAGAGCUGUAGAAUCGUAGAGUUGAAAGAGACCCCAAGGAUCUUCUUUUUUAAAAAAAUAGUUUUUAUUAAGUUUUACAAUUUUAUAUUCAACACAAUCAGUAUUCCUAACACUUAUUGGAGCUUGUUCUAUACAUUUUUGUCAUUUUUACAGGGGCAAUAUACCAACGGUACAUCAUUUUCAUAUAAUUCUGUUUCAAAGUUAUAAAAUCCGUAAAUUUUAAAUUCACUUUUCAUAAUUUCUCUCCAUCUUCCAUUUGUAUAUUAUGUCCUAAAUCUUGUUCCCAUUUGAUCAUUAGACAUUUUACCUCCUCGUCUUUAGUUUCCCACUCUAAUAAUAUAUUGUACACCUUCUUCAGUAAUUUAGUAUUAUCACCUAUGAUUUCUCUUUGAAAUCUGGAUAAAGUGUAACUAAAUCCUUUCUUUUUAUCCUCUUUAAAUACCUCAUUUAAUUGAUGAUACUGCAGCCAAUCAUUUACAUGUUCUCAAAACUCUUCAAAUUCUUUCAAUUUUAAUUUCCCUUCUAUUUCUAUUAAGAGAUCUCUAUAUGUGAACCAUUUUUAUUUCUUAUUUUUUUAAUUGAAGUUGCUUCUGUUGGUGACAGCCACCACGGGGUCUUUUGUUCUAGUAAAUCUUUAUAUCUUUCCAUACUUUUAAAAGUGAUCUCCUAAUUAUGUGGUUAUAGAAUCUUUUGUGUACUUUCCCUUUAUCAUACCACAAGUACGCAUGCCAUCCAAAUCUGUUGUCAUGUCCUUCAAGAUCUAAUAUAUCCAUAUUUUCUAAUUUAAUCCAAUCCCAGAUCCAAGCAACACAAGCAGCCUCAUUGGAUAAUUUAAAGUCUGGAAGGGAAAAUCCUCCUCUAUCUUUAAUGUCAGUUUUCGCAUCAUUCUGGCUUUCAUCCUCAUUGUAUGUACUUAUAGAGCUUAAACUCUUUAAUUUGCCUGUAAACUAGAUUGUAAAAUUAGUACUCUGUCUACUCUCAUUGAAUACAUCAUCAUCAUCAUGAUUCUCUUGCUGAAAAGAAGCUUGUCAGCAUAGCAGAUCUCUUUAGUGGCGGUUGCAAGAGCCAAGAGGCAGGUUGAAGAGUUGCAUAAUGAGUGCCUGGAGGGCCUGCCGCUGGGGGAUGCCUGGAGCAGCAUUGCAGUCUGAAGCUGAAACAUCAAAGACUCCCAUGAGUAGUGCAUAGCUUAUCAUGUCAACAAGCACUUGGUACAAUUCUGACAAGAACAUGAGGCAGAGAUGUCAGGCUCUCAGCAUCAGCAAGGUUGUCCACAGCAAUGGCCAAAAAGACAUUCAGCAAGAUGUCUGUUUGCAUGUUUCAUUAAAGAAAACAUGUUUAGAUGCAGCCCCAACUACGGAGGUUGGAAAAUAGAUCUGACCAGUGGGAAUGAUGUUUAGCUCCACACAGACCAGCAUGCCAAGUUUGACAGGUACCAAAUAUCUCUUUGCUGUCCUCCCUAUUGUCUCUACUCACUCAUCCGUCUAUCCCUCCUGAAGAAGCAGGAGGCUUCACAGAGAUCCUGGUUGCAUAAGGCAAGUUCACCCCCGCCCCAGUCCCCUGAUUCAACUUAGGGUUCAUCUGAAGCUGCUGCAUAUCCCUAAAUCCUCCAUACCUUGGACUUCAGUGAGCCAAUCUGACUGGUUAUAAUGUUCAGAGGCAAUUGUGAGGGUGUUAAGAAACACAAGGAAGAUCACGAG